AACGAACGCUGGCGGCAGGCCUAACACAUGCAAGUCGAACGCCCCGCAAGGGGAGUGGCAGACGGGUGAGUAACGCGUGGGAACCUACCUAGUGGUACGGAACAACUCGGGGAAACUUGAGCUAAUACCGUAUACGCCCUCAGGGGGAAAGAUUUAUCGCCAUUAGAUGGGCCCGCGUCGGAUUAGCUUGUUGGUGAGGUAAUGGCUCACCAAGGCGACGAUCCGUAGCUGGUCUGAGAGGAUGAUCAGCCACACUGGGACUGAGACACGGCCCAGACUCCUACGGGAGGCAGCAGUGAGGAAUAUUGGACAAUGGGCGCAAGCCUGAUCCAGCCAUGCCGCGUGAGUGAAGAAGGCCUUAGGGUUGUAAAGCUCUUUCGACGGGGAAGAUAAUGACGGUACCCGUAGAAGAAGCCCCGGCUAACUUCGUGCCAGCAGCCGCGGUAA
rnacentral:rRNA from 1 species